rfam:Triticum aestivum genome assembly, contig: Triticum_aestivum_CS42_TGACv1_scaffold_557573_7AL
UAGAUACUCCUUUCGUCCGAAAAAGCUUGUCCCAAACUUGUCUCUCAAAUGAAUGUAUCUAGCACUAACUUGGUGCUAGAUACAUCCAUUUGAGGGGCAAGUUUUUCCGGACGGAGAGAGUAUAAG